CAAUAGCGUAUAUUAAAGUUGUUGCAGUUAAAAAGCUCGUAGUUGGAUUUCGGGGCAGCCUGGCUGGUCCGCCGCAAGGCGAGUACUGGUCAGCCGCCCUUCCUCUCGAAAGCCCCGACUGCUCUUCGUUGCAGUGGUCGGGUAGUUCGGGACGUUUACUUUGAAAAAAUUAGAGUGUUCAAGGCAGGCCUACGCCUGAAUACAUUAGCAUGGAAUAAUGGAAGAGGACCUCGGUCCUAUUUUGUUGGUUUCCAGGGCCGAAGUAAUGAUUAAGAGGGACAGUUGGGGGCAUUCGUAUUUAAUUGUCAGAGGUGAAAUUCUCGGAUUUAUGAAAGAUGAACAACUGCGAAAGCAUUUGCCAAGGAUGUUUUCAUUAA
rnacentral:rRNA from 1 species